rnacentral:lncRNA from 1 species
CCUUCGGUACCAAAUUGAGACCACUGAGGCCUCCAGCUCCAUGUUCUGUGCCGCCAACAUGCAGGUAGCAUUGACUAAGUCAAUCAUUGUACCUGACUGUCUUUGAGACAAGUAACCGUCAUCUCGUGAGUUCAGCUGUGAAAGGAUUAUCUUAACUGGGCUCAUUGGCUGUUUACACUCCCUAACUGAGGGCCGGAGAGGGUCACAAGACCCUCGCCUGAGUGUCUAGACCCCCCUGACAUAUAUUGAAUAGAACCCUGCCUUAAUUGUAUGUGGCCUCAGUGAGGGGCUCACAAAUACGGGCAGGGAAGACUAGGGGACUGGACUCCAUCUCUGUGGCUAUGGGAAACCCUCAUCCCUCCUGAGUAAUGGCUUUCCAUGUAUAGCCUGUUCCCACAGCCCCGGAAAUAGCCCCUCAACUAUGCUCGAUGAAGAAGCACAAUAAACAAAUUAGUUGCCUAGAGUGAA